rfam:Schistosoma mattheei strain Denwood, Zambia genome assembly, scaffold: SMTD_scaffold0001678
AUCCAGCUGUCGAGUCCCAAGUAGGACGAAAUGCGCGUCCUGGAU